AGUAAGACAGAUGGUCGCUGCUGCAUGACCGAAAGGAUGCAGGAGAGGAAAGUCCGGGCUUCAAAGGGCAGGGUGCCAGAUAACGUCUGGCGGAGGCGACUCCAGGGACAGUGCAACAGAAAUAAACCGCACGGCUUGCCGUGUAAGGGUGGAAAGGCAGUGUAAGAGACUACCGCCUCGCUGGUAACAGAGAGGGCACAUGUAAACCCCAUCCGAAGCAAGGCCGAACAGGGAGCAUAAGGCGGCCCGUCUGCUCCCGGGUAGGCCGCUUGAGCUGUCUGGCGACAGGCAGCCUAGAUAGAUGACCAUCCAGGACAUAACCCGGCUUACAGUCUUGCUC
rnacentral:RNase_P_RNA from 1 species